GGGCCAUUAGCUCAAUAGGUAGAGCAGGUCCCUCUUAAGGACAAGGUCGUAGGUUCGACUCCUACAUGGCCCA
rfam:Omnitrophica WOR_2 bacterium RIFCSPHIGHO2_02_FTLL_45_21 rifcsphigho2_02_scaffold_14056, whole genome shotgun sequence.